rnacentral:lncRNA from 1 species
AUUCGCUUGGUCUAGGGGCCUAACAUGGCUGAGGUAAUGUCUUUCUGUCGCCCACAGAGACAGGCAUGUGGACAAGUUGGGUCUAAAGUUGGCACAAACCUCCCAUUUCAAUUUUUUUUAAAUUGAUCCAGAAACCCAGUAGUAGCCCCUGCAGUGAAAUUACUGUAGAUGUCCAAUGGGGGUCCUCAAGUUUGCACACCCCCUUCCUGGGCAUGACCUUGAAUUCUCCCCACAGCCUGCCAAGGCUGGCCACGGUGGAGGCAGAGACGGGACGCAGACCCAGCUUCCUCGGCAGCCAGCUGCCCCACGCUCCCCUGUGUUCGGCAACAGGACUUUUCCCAAGUUUUCUAGACGUGGGCAUAUGGUGCUCCUCCAAAGGCAUCCCCAGAUACCAGGUGGCCAAGCAGCCCAGGGCACUUCCUAGCUUGCUAGUUGCUGCAAGUUGCUUAACCUGUCUGUGCCUGACCUUAAAUUGGGGGUGAUAUAGCAUCUACAUGAAAACACACAUUGAAGAUUAAAUGAGCUAGCACUCGUGGAGGGUGUAGACAGAGCUUGGUUCACACUGUUACUGAACAGAACAGGGGCCAAAAGAAGCAAGGGUCCUGCCUGCCUGAGUUGACCCCUACCCCUCCCUUCCUGCAUAUCCUUGUUCUGCCCCUUCAGGGCUGGGGCCACUAUGUUACCUCUGCACCUUCUGCAAGUGGCUUCCUCAGCUCUGAGAUCCCUUUCUGCCUUUCUCCCCUCACUCCUGUCCACGAACCCUGCCCCCACCCCAGGGCGCUGCUCUCACCAGUUGUUCACAGGCCGCCUCUCCCCUCCCUUCAAAGACAAUACAUCGUAUUAAUAGACUUAAAAACAAGAAUCACAUGAUCAUCUCUAUAGGUGCAGAAAAAGCACUUGAUAACAUACAGCACCCCUUCAUGCUCAAAACACUAGAAAAACUAGGGAUAGUAGGAACAUACCUCAACAUUGUAAAAGCUAUAUGUGCUAAACCCAAGGCCAGCCUCAUUCUAAGUGGAGAAAAAUUGAAAGCAUUCCUGCUAAAAACUGGAACAAGACAAGGAUGUCAUCUUUCACUACUUCUGUUCAAUAUCAUCCUUGAAACUCUAGCCAGAGCAAUUAGACAGAAGAAAUUAAAGGGAUACAAAUAGGUAAAGAAGGACUCAAACUAUCACUAUUUGCUGAUGACAUGAUUCUAUAUCUAGAAGAUCAAAAAAAUCCCACCAGAAAACUUCUAGAACUAAUAAAUGAAUUCAGCAAAGUAGCAGGAAAUAGAAUCAACUCCCAUAAAUCAAACACAUUCCUAUACAUCAGCGAAGAAUCCACUGAAAGAGAAAUUAGGAAAACUACUCCAUUCACAAUAGCCUCAAAAAAAAAAAAGUCCUGGGAAUCAAUCUAACAAAAGAGGUGAAAGACCUCUACAAUGAAAACUACAGAACACUAAAGAAAGAAAUUGAAGAGAACCUCAGAAGAUGGAAAGAUCUCCUAUGCUCCUGGAUAGGCAGAAUUAAUAUUGUCAAAAUGGCCAUACUACCAGAAGUGUUAUACAGAUUUAAUGCAAUUCCUAUCAAAAUCCCAAUGACAUUCUUCAUAGAAUUAGAAAAAUCAAUCAUAAAAUUUAUUUGGAAAAAUAAGAGAUCCAGAAUAGCUAAAGCAAUCCUUAGCAAGAAAAGUGAAGCAGAAGGCAAAAAAAAUCAGACCUUAAACUAUACUACAGAGCUAUAGUAUACAUGAAAACACACAUUGAAGAUUAAAUGAGCUAGCACACGUGGAGGGUAUAGACAGAGCUUGGUUCACACUGUUAACCAAGUGUGAAACAGCAUGAUAUUGGCACCAAAAUAGACUUGUAGAACAAUGGUACAGAAUAGAGGUCACAGAGACAAACCCACAUAAAUAUGGCUAUGUCACACUAGACAAAGGUGCCAAAAACAUUCACUGGAGAAAAGACAGCCUAUUCAACAAAUGGUGCUGGCAAAACUGGAAAUCCAUAUGUAGCAAAAUGAAAUUAAACCUCUAUCUCUCACCCUGCACAAAAAUCAACUUGAAGAGGAUAAAAGACUUAGGCACUUAGAUCAGAGACCCUGCGCCUAAUAGAAGAAAAAAUAGGCCCAAAUAUUCACCAUGUCAACCUAGGAUCUGACUUCCUAAACAAGACCCCUAAAAUGUAAGAAGUAAAUCAAGAAUUAAUAAAUGGUAUGAAUUCAAAUUAAAAAGCUUUUUCUCAGCAAAGGAAACAAUUAAUAAAGUGAGGAGAAAGCCUACAGAUUGGGAGAAAAUCUUCACCACAUACACCUCCAAUAAAGCAUUAAUCUCUAGGAUCUAUAAAGAACUCAAAAAACUUAACACUCAAAACACAAAUAACCCAAUCAAUAAAUGGGCUAAGGAACUGAACAGACACUUCACAAAAGAAGAAAUACAAUUGACCAACAAAUAUAUGAAAAAGUGUUUAACACCUCUAGCAAUUAGAGAAAUGCAAAUCAUUUCUCUUAGAUUUCGUCUCACUCCUGUCAGAAUGGCAAUAAUCAAGAAUAAAGGCAACAAUAAAUGUUGGUGAGGAUGUGGUGAAAAGGGUACACUCAUUCAUUGCUGGUGAGACUGCAAAUUGGUGCAACCACCGUGGAAAGCAGUAUGGAGAUUCCUCAGAAAAUUGGGAAUGGAACCACCAUUUAACCCAGCUAUCCCACUCCUUGUUUUAUAGCCAAAGGACUUAAAAUCAGCGUACUAUAGUGACGCAGCCACAUCAAUGUCUAUAGCACCUCAAUUCACAAUAGCUAGACUAUGGAACCAACCUAGGUGUCCCUCAAUAGAUGAAUGGAUAAAGAAUAUAUGGUAUAUAUACUCAGUGGAAUAUUACUCAGCUUUAAAGAAGAGUUAAAUUACGGCAGUUGCCAGUAAAUGGUUAGAGUUGGAGAACAUCGUGCUAAGCAAAAUAAGCCAAUCCCACAAAUCCAAAGGCCAAGUGUUUUCUCUAAUAUGCAGAUGCUAAUUAACAAUAAGGCAGGGGAGCACUAGGGAAGAAUAGCGUUACCUUACAUUAGGUAGAGGGAAGUUAUGGGAGGGGAGGGGAGGGGAUGUGUGGGUAGGAAUGAUAGUAGAACGAAACAGACAUGAUUACUAUAUGUGUAUAUGUGACUGAAUGACCAAUAUGAUUCUACAACAUGUACACUCAGAAAAAUGAGAAAUUGUAUCCAUCUAUUUAUGACAUAUCAAAAUGAAUGAA